GACGAACGCUGGCGGCGUGCCUAAUACAUGCAAGUCGAGCGAGCUUGCCUAGAUGAAUUUGGUGCUUGCACCAGAUGAAACUAGAUACAAGCGAGCGGCGGACGGGUGAGUAACACGUGGGUAACCUGCCCAAGAGACUGGGAUAACACCUGGAAACAGAUGCUAAUACCGGAUAACAACACUAGACGCAUGUCUAGAGUUUAAAAGAUGGUUCUGCUAUCACUCUUGGAUGGACCUGCGGUGCAUUAGCUAGUUGGUAAGGUAACGGCUUACCAAGGCAAUGAUGCAUAGCCGAGUUGAGAGACUGAUCGGCCACAUUGGGGCUGAGACACGGCCCAAACUCCUACGGGAGGCAGCAGUAGGGAAUCUUCCACAAUGGACGCAAGUCUGAUGGAGCAACGCCGCGUGAGUGAAGAAGGGUUUCGGCUCGUAAAGCUCUGUUGGUAGUGAAGAAAGAUAGAGGUAGUAACUGGCCUUUAUUUGACGGUAAUUACUUAGAAAGUCACGGCUAACUACGUGCCAGCAGCCGCGAUAAUACGUAGGUGGCAAGCGUUGUCCGGAUUUAUUGGGCGUAAAGCGAGUGCAGGCGGUUCAAUAAGUCUGAUGUGAAAGCCUUCGGCUCAACCGGAGAAUUGCAUCAGAAACUGUUGAACUUGAGUGCAGAAGAGGAGAGUGGAACUCCAUGUGUAGCGGUGGAAUGCGUAGAUAUAUGGAAGAACACCAGUGGCGAAGGCGGCUCUCUGGUCUGCAACUGACGCUGAGGCUCGAAAGCAUGGGUAGCGAACAGG
rnacentral:rRNA from 1 species